rnacentral:rRNA from 1 species
CCUACGGGAGGCAGCAGUGAGGAAUAUUGGUCAAUGGGCGGAAGCCUGAACCAGCCAAGUCGCGUGAGGGAAUAAGGCCCUACGGGUCGUAAACCUCUUUUGCCGGGGAGCAAGGGCCGGGACGCGUCCCGGCCCGGCGAGUACCCGGCGAAAAAGCAUCGGCUAACUCCGUGCCAGCAGCCGCGGUAAUCCGGAGGAUGCGAGGUUUAUCCGGAUUUAUUGGGUUUAAGGGGUUCGUAGGCGGGCUGUUAAGUCAGCGGUAAAAAUUCGGGGCUCAACCCCGUCCGGCCGUUGAAAAUGGAGGCCUUGAGUGGGCGAGAAGAAGGCGGAAUGCGUGGUGUAGCGGUGAAAUGCAUAGAUAUCACGCAGAACCCCGAUUGCGAAGGCAGCCUUCCGGCGCCCUACUGACGCUGAGGCACGAAAGUGCGGGGAUCGAACAGGAUUAGAUACCCGGGUAGUC